ensembl:misc_RNA 7SK 7SK RNA
GGAUUUGAGUGCAAUCUGUGACAUCUGUCACCCCAUUGAUCACCAGGCCUGAUUCAGUGGUCCAGCUGGCUAGACAGAUGUCCCCUUUUCCUUUCAUGUGCAUCCCUCUCAAAGCCACACACUCAAAUGUAGGGGACAACCAACCCCGGUAGAAGAAGACCAUUUCUUCAGUUAAGGGUAUACAAGUAGCUGUGCUCUCCUGCUAGAACCUCCAAACAACCUCUCAAGACUUAAGGUGGACAGGGCUUAAAAAGUAGCCCUGGAGCUGAGCAUGAAGCCUAUAACCCCAG